rnacentral:tRNA from 1 species
GCCCUGGUGACACAACAGUUAUGUGCUCAGCUGCUACCUGAAAGACUGGUGGUUUGAAUCCACUCAGCGGCU